AUUGAACGCUGGCGGCAGGCCUAACACAUGCAAGUCGAGCGGAUGAAGGGAGCUUGCUCCUGGAUUCAGCGGGGGACGGGUGAGUAAUGCCUAGGAAGCUGCCUGGUAGUGGGGGAUAACGUCCGGAAACGGGCGCUAAUACCGCAUACGUCCUGAGGGAGAAAGUGGGGGAUCUUCGGACCUCACGCUAUCUGAUGAGCCUAGGUCGGAUUAGCUAGUUGGUGGGGUAAAGGCCUACCAAGGCGACGAUCCGUAACUGGUCUGAGAGGAUGAUCAGUCACACUGGAACUGAGACACGGUCCAGACUCCUACGGGAGGCAGCAGUGGGGAAUAUUGGGCAAUGGGCGAAAGCCUGAUCCAGCCAUGCCGCGUGUGUGAAGAAGGUCUUCGGAUUGUAAAGCACUUUAAGUUGGGAGGAAGGGCAGUAAGUUAAUACCUUGCUGUUUUGACGUUACCAACAGAAUAAGCACCGGCUAACUUCGUG
rnacentral:rRNA from 1 species